rnacentral:rRNA from 1 species
UACGUAGGGGGCAAGCGUUGUCCGGAAUCAUUGGGCGUAAAGCGCGUGUAGGCGGUUCGGUAAGUCCGCUGUGAAAGUCGGGGGCUCAACCCUCGGAUGCCGGUGGAUACUGUCGAGCUUGAGUACGGAAGAGGCGAGUGGAAUCCUGGUGUAGCGGUGAAAUGCGCAGAUAUCAGGAGGAACACCAAUUGCGAAGGCAGCUCGCUGGGACGUUACUGACGCUGAGACGCGAAAGCGUGGGGAGCAAACAGG